AAGUUGUGAUGGGAAUCAAUGGCA
rnacentral:miRNA from 1 species